GUUGCCGUGGCCAAGUGGUUAAGGUGAAGGACUGGAAAUCCUCUAGGGUUUCUCUGUAACAGGUUCAAAUCCUGCCAAUAACA